UACAAAACAUCAUAUAUCCGUCUAUUUGACGUUUUUUUCACGUCAACAAUGUCGCAUAUGGUAGAUCUCGAUUGCUGAAACGUUGUCGCGUUGGGUAAUUUAUGAGCGUCCUUAUAUAUUUAAUGUCGCAAAGUAUACAUAUAUCAAUUUAUUCAUUAUACGUCGUUUGUGGGAAAGUAAAGGAUGAAAAAUGGAUUCAAAAUCAAGAAAUCGGAUCGUUUAUCUUAUCUUGAUGUUUGCUAGUGAUAUAUGAAAACUAUGAAGAAAAAAAAAGUAUUUUCUUGAAGUAGAGUUUAAGAUGGUGGAAUAUUGUCUGCUCUUAUAUCAUUAGCAUGAAGAGAAAUGAAACAAUCAUAAAACAUCGUCUGCAGCUGUAUCGUUGCCACCACAAAGAAACACAAACAUAAUUACCAUUGAGAUUGAAUGAAAGAUGGAAUGAGGACAGUUAAACAAAAUGUCAGAGGCUCGUAAAUAUGUAUUGCCGAAAAUCGGGAAACAAACAAAGACGUUUAUUGUUUCUGAAAGAGGAAAAAAUAAAGAAUCUCAAAAGAAUAAUUCCUCCGGCGACUGACGUUGGGGAACUGAAUGACAGCUGUCCAUUCGCCAAGAAAAGCAGGAAGUUGAAUAACUUUUCAUUAAGAAAAUAAGGAACACGAAGACUCAUUUUUCACAAAAUGAAUAAUUGAAAUGAAGACACAAAAGUGAUGAGGAAAUUGAAACAAUCCUAAAGACUGACUCCUCCAUUGUCGAAAUCCAAUAUUGGUUAUGACCUUCGUAUUUAAUAAUGAAUUACGCGUGUUCUCCAUACGGUCAGAAGAUUUAUAGAAUAUAUGUUUCGUCAAUUUGAAAUCUGUUGUAUCAGUUUUGUGUACAGAGCACAAUAAAAAAUCGGCCAUCAGG